ACGAACUCGUCCUCAUUUUGUUUUUGCCAGGGAACACGUGUACUAAGUUUCAUUACGAUAUCCUAAUUUUUACUCAAGUUAUCGCUUACGCAGAUGAAAAAUCAUGAAAACUUUCAUUUGAUAAAAGUUAUAUUUUUUUUUUGCAUCGCAGCAAACAUAUUUAUUGCUGCUUCUUCUACCACUUACUUCUUCGAAUAAAUACCUAAUUAUGCACAGUGCAAUAUCAUGAUACGUGAUCGAACCCUUGCGCCGCUUACGUCGCUUUCGUCGACAUGUAUUUCUUGUUACCGUGCGACGGUUGGUAUUGCAGAUGGGCGUGAUCGGACCUCUGCCACGCCCACAAAACGCCAUUAAUCAAAAACAUAUAAAUUACCAUAACUAAGCUCCGCAAUAAGAUAUAAGACUGUUAUUUAGUACACAGGAUCACAUUAGGGAGGGGCAUCUGCAGUUAAAAUUUUUUUUUAAAGUAGGCGUGGUCCCUCCUCUAAUAGGUUUAGUCUGCAUAUCUCCUAAGCCGCUAAUGUUAUAAUAACAAAAUUCACUGGAAGCAAAUUUUUUUAGAACCUCUACCCACAGUGUGAAAAUAGUUGAAAUCGAGUGGCAACUCCGCCCACUCCCCAUAUAAUGGUACUGUUAAAAACUACUAAAAGCGCGAUAAAUCAAGCACUAAACACUCCAGAGACAUUAAAUUUUAUUUCUGGGAUGGUAUGGGAUAUCUUUACGUUAUAGUGCGAAAAUGGGAGAAAUCGAAUUACAACCACACCUAUUAAUUUCUAUUUGAUUCUUUCAUUUUCCAGUAUGCAAAUCAAGCAACAAUGAUUGUAUCGGGGUAAAACUUUGCGGGAAUAAUACGUUUAAAGUAUGCCACCUUGUGACCAAAAAUUCUCUAAAUCGAACCAAAACUGUUCAAGCCCCUAAGUACUAAAUAUGUGGACCCCAGUGCCUAUAGUUGACCUUCUACCGAAAAUAUCAGCCAAUCCACAAAGAAAUCUCAAACGAGUAUACCAUUUGACUUUGCGAGAGUAUAAAAUGUUCGGUUACAUCCGAACUUAGCCCUUCCUUGCUUGUUUUUUAAGAAAAUUGUAUAUAUAUUUUACAAACAUUGUUUUUUGUAAAAAUUAGUAGUAUCAAAUGAAAGAAGACAUCUUCAAUCAUAAUGGUACUGAAUAUAAGCGAUAUCGAUUCGGUCUGUUAAGAAAAAACAAAAACAUUUUCCAAGAUCGUCCAAACAAAUCGCACUUUAGUAGUUUUUAACAGAACCGUUACAUGGUGAGUCGGUGGAGUUAUCAUCCGAUUUCAUCUAUUUUCUCACUGUCGAAGGAAAAGGUUUUUUUUCCGACAUAGGCCUUGUAUUUUAUUGUGGAGCUUACUUAUGGCACUUUAUAGAUUUUCUAUUAAUGGCGUUUUGUGAGCGCGGCAGUGGUCUGAUUGCUGAUUCUACAAUACCAAACUUCUUCUUAAAUCUUAAUUUUUACUUUAGCUAGAGCAAGCACGGACGGGUCACCCGGAUUUCAACUCAUCUCGUCAUGCUGAUCACUUAUAUAUAUGUGCAGUAGUUAGCACAAAUGAGUGCAUGUUUGUUCUUCGUCUAUUUAUUCCUGCAUAAGUGUAGAAGUAGCUAAGAAAAUUAUAAAAGUUUUUUUCCCUUUAAUUGAUGUUCAACUCUAAACAAAAUGGUUAAUAAUACAAAAAAUAAAAUAUGAGACGAAAAAAAACAAAUAAAACUAAAACAAAUCGCAUGUACUCAAAUUGGCUCCUUACAGAAACUUUCAGAAUAUAUCUAAUUUUAUUAUUAGUCCAUAACCCUUUAUUGCACAAAACACUUUGUACACGGAUUAGCAUAUUUUCCACCAAAUUCUGUAUAAUUUCAUUUGGAAUACUAUGUCAUUACCGCUGUAUCCGUUGCCAAAUCUCGUCCACAUUCAUUGGGGUUGAUCGGUAUUGUCCCAACUUUAUUUUCACGAUUGUCCACAAAUUAUCAAUCGGAUUUAGAUCACCUGCAUCAGUAAAAAAUUAUGUUCCGUAGGCCAUUACUUCACGAUUUUGGAUGUAUAUUUUAUUUAUUUCUAUGAAUGCGUUCUUUGGUGUCAAGUGCUUGUUCGUAUUUAUAUUUUUUAUCAUGAGACGUGCGUCUGCAUCUGUCAAAAAUUUUUCUGUGCCCUUAACUUGUGCUUUGGAUUAUCUCGCCUUUUCUGAACGCUUAUGAUCACUCAGUGGCUUAUUUUAGCGAGCUGCUUUAGAAGAGCCUGCUCUUGUCAUGGCUAUUAAACUCUCCUCAAUGCGUGGUGAUAGCUUCCUUCAUUAUUUUGAAGAGCAAUGAAAUUAAUGUAAUAACUGUUAAAAACAAUAUUUUUUAUUUAUUAAAAAGUUCUUACCAGGCGCAAUAAAGCACCAUUUCAGCUAAAUGUUUUAUUUAAGUCGUAAAUAAUUCAAACUUACGACAAACUUUGCUAUUUUUUGUUGAAAGCUUAACGGGUGCAUAAUUGAGUACAUGCGAGUUGUUUUAGUUUUAUUAGUUUUUUUCUUGGAAUCACAUAUUUUAUUUUUUGUAUAAUUAAUCAUUUUGUUUAGAAUUGAACAUCAAUUAAUGUUCAAAAAUGAACAUGUGCGUUGAUGCCAAAGGGCAUCACUUUCAGUAUACAUCAACAAAUUUAGUUUUAUUAUUCUACAUAUUAAGAAUAUAAGAUAAGAUAAGAAACAUGUAAGAAUAAAUACAAGGAAACGGAGAGUUUGUGGUAAUGUUCCCUCAUCUGAUUUUGUGAAAAAAAAUCAUUACAACGAAAGUAUCUUAUCAAUAUGUAACAAACAUUAUUUAAACGCCAUUCAAUUGACAUUAAACUUUGUCUUACUUGGUGUUAGGCAGUUGCAAUGAAUUUGAGUGAUCACGAAGGCUUUUUCUAAUACGCAGCACAUCAGUUUUGCCCAACAUUUUUGUCAUCAAUAUCCAUUUAAAUACCAUUAUUAUUCACCUUUCCGGGAACAAUAACUGAAUUGAAUUGUUUUGAUAUUUCGUUUAAAAAUUGUCAGCUGUUAUCUGUUAAAUCUUUUUUUUUUAUGUUGCAACAUCAAUGAAACUUAGACGGUAAAUAGUUGAAGUUCGUAAUAUCAAAGAAGAGUUGGGUGGACCUGAAGUUGAAUUGCUUCAGCUUCAACUGAUCUGAGUGGAGUUGAAAACCGUAAUAUGUGUUGGUAUAAAUGGAUUUCUUAACCAAUAAUGUGGUUUAGAGCUGAAUAUAAUUGAAAUUGGUCUAGACUGACCAUAGAGGUGACCAUAUUUUUCCCGGCAAAAUCCGGGACGGGUUUUUAGUUAUCGAUUUUUUCCAUAUUAAAAUUCACUGAAAAUUGCGACUAUAAUACUUAUAGGUGAGAGAGCAACACAAUUUUAUUCAAUUCAUUCUUUUUUUUUUUAAUGCCUAAGCCCGGGAUGACUGGUCGCUUAACUCGAAAUCCAGACUGUUCCGGCCAAACCGGGACGAUUGGUCUGCUAAGUCUAGACCUUGCUCUAAACCUCAUAUCCGACUAUACAAUUUGGUCCACUUAUACACAUUAUAUUAAAUUUUGACUUCUUACUUGAGUGUAUAACUUAUAUGUCCCAUUUGAGUUAAUUGAGUUGAUUUUAAUAUACAUAUCCCAACAAAGCAAAAUGUAGUAAUGAAACAAAGUGAGUCUAUGACCUAAAAGAUAAGUUAAUAAUAUACCAAAUAUGUUCAUAAUUCAAUCACAAUUUUGUCGAAUAAUAAAUGUUAAUUUCCUAGGCAACAUUUUCCAAUAUAAAGUUUUGUCAACACCUGAAAGUAUUUUGCAGGCUUUAAUCCUUGAAAUGGCGUGAGUGUAAAAUGUUACACUUUGAACCUAGCCAUUCCUUAUUAUUUUUUUUUAUAUAUUUGAACAAAAUAAAAAUGAACAUAUUAACAAUUUCAUUUAUUUAUUGAUACAUUUUUGUGAAUAUUUGGCUUCUGGAAGUUCUGUUUUUAGGCUCCACCAAUAAUCUGCUAGCAUUGUAUGGAACCCUAGCUACAAAAUCCAUUCUGACAAGUUAGAGUUUGUUCAAAGACAAUUUCAGCUUUUCUUCAAAGUUUUUACCCUUUAUCAAUUUCCGUAUUUGUGGACUUACAAAUAUUCCCUUUUUUAAUUUUUGCCCUGGGUAGUUUAAACUUGGUUGUAAUGCCUUUUGUUUGAGUCAAACAAAAAUAACAAUCAUUUACAUGACCCUUUUGUUUGGUUCAAAUCAUUGGUAUAACAAAUGGCAUGUGUCUGAGUUCUUAUUUAGCCCAAACUAAUAGCAGUCUCACACAGGAUACACAACAUUUAUGUGGAACCCAGGAUUUAUCUUGAUUCCUCACUGGAAAUUUAAAGUAGCCUAAACAGCACUGUUCACUGACGCGAAAUUACGACGCUGAGAUUUAAAAGUAAACUCUGCACACACAUAACAAAAAAUGUCAGGGUCGUUAGAACACUUUCGUGGCAUGUUUACGAUGUUUGCGAUGAGCAGUUUAGUAUUUAGAUCAGAUUUAGGAUUAAUGCGACGGUAUAGUAAUCUAUACUAAUAUUAUAAAUGCGAAAGUCCGUUUGUUUGUUAAGCUUUCACGCAAAAACUACUUAACAGAUCAUCAUGAAAGUUUGUACAUAUGCUCUUAGAGGUGUCAGAAUGAACAUAGGAUAUUUUUUAUUACAAAAUUUAUAAAUUUUUUACGGAUUAUUAAAAAAAAUUAUUUUGGAGGAUGUAUGUUUGGAAAAUAAAUUUGAAAAUUUUGAAAUUGAAAAAAAAAAGUUUGGCAGAAAUGAUUGUUUGUCGAAAAAAUUAAAAAUGAAAGAAAACUAAAAUAAAUGAAAAUGAAAGAAAAAAAAAUAAUGGUAUUGGUUUUCAAUAUGAUCCUUUAGUUGAGUAUUCUAAUUUUAUUUUAUUUAAUUAAUUGUUAUUGGCUCAAUGGAUAAAAAAUGUCAGUAUUGUGAUGCUUUUAAAUGGAAAGAUGAAACUGCUGGAAUGUGUUGCAGCACUGUGUCACAGAUGAGUCAAAACGAUUUCUAAGUAAAAUAAGGAAGUAUAAUUCUUGCUUUAAAAUGACAUAUUUCGGAGUUGAUAAAGUGAUAAGAACGCCUGGAUUUUCACCAACCUUUACUGUACAAGGACAAAUAUAUCAUCAAAUUGGAUCACUAUUUCCAGGAAAUAAUGAUCAGCAUAAAUUUUUGGAGGUGUAUUUUAUGGGUGAUGAACAAAAUGAAGUAAAUCGUCGUUGCCAGUAUAUAGAUGGAGUAGAAAGAGAAAUAUAUAUAUAACAUGAUAAUGCGUUAAAGCGCGUAGCUGAUACUCAUACAUUUUAUGACGCUUUGCAGUAUCCAUUAAUUUUCAGUAAAGGUGAAUCAGGAUAUCAUUUCAAUAUUUCAGUCAUCAAGCCGACAACGAACGAGCCAAUUCCAAAUAAAAAAGUAAAAUACUUAUUUGAUGGAUUCGAUGCGAGCGAAGCCGCGGGUAAAAGCUAGUAAUAUAUAAACGUGUUGUUUAUAAAUUCAUUUUGUAUCAAGAAUAACGGCGAGAUUUUAUAUUUUACUUUUUCAUUUCAAGGUACAGUAACAUAGCUCUGGGGCAAGAAACAUGCUUUGAGUUUUCUACUAAAAAAAUGGUUUGUAAUUUAGUGAUUAUAUUAGGGGUAGUAAAAAGAAAUCCAUUAUUUUUCCAAUAGAUAGCGUUAUUUAUCUGUAUCUCGCGUUGUAUGAGACCGAUCGGGUUCCGCUAGUUGAUUCAGUUUGGUUUGAGUACGCGUCAAAGAUGGUUACUUGCAAAGAGAAAAUACGCUAUAUAUUACAGUUUUUCUUCGAUAAGGGCCAAAACACAAACCAGGUGGCUGAAAAUGUAAAUAGCGUUUAUGGCCUGAUACUGUAACAGCUAAUCACGCGCAAUUUUGGUUUCGUCGAUUCCGUUCCGGUAAUUUCGAUGUCAAAGAUGCACCACGCACCAGAAGAGCAAUUGUCGAUAAAAUCGGGGACAUUAUCGAGUCUGUCCGUCAUGUAAGCACUGAUUCGAUUGCCCAAGAUUGCACAAAACACCGUUUGGAACCAUUUGAAUAAGGCUGGAUAAGAAAAGAAGUUCGAUGUAUGGGUGUUACACAAGUUAACGCAAAAAAAUCUCAUGGACCGAAUUUCCAUCUGCGAAUCGCUGCUGAAUCGCAAGAAAAUCGACCAACUCGGAACUGUACUGUCAACAAUUGGACCGUCAGAAGGAAGCAAUCGCCCAGGAGCGGCCAGCUUUGGCCAAGAGGAGAGGAAUUGUGUUCCAAGGAACACCGCCAGGCCACACACACCGAUAGUGACUCGCCAGAAACUCCGGAACCUUGUUUGGGAGGUUCUUAUACGUCCACCUUAUAGUUCGGACCUGGCACCAAGUGAUUACCUACUGUUCCUGUCCAUGGCGAACAAUUUCGCUGAUGAAGAAUUCGCUUCAAGAGAGGCUUGUGGAAAUCGAGUGUCUCAAUUUUGCCAAUAGGAACGAAGGCUUCUAUGAGAGAAGCAUAAUGAAAUUACCCUUAAAAUGGCAACAAGUUAUCGAACAAAUCGGAGCAUAUUUGGCCCAAAUCGGAUCAUUCUACCUUUGGUAAUUAAAGCCUUCAAUUUCACGCAAAAAUAAUGGAUUUCUUUUUACUAUACCUUAUAUAAUAUAUACAGGAAGUUCCCCAGAACUUAAAAAAGCAGUACCAUCUGCAAAUAUUGAUUCAGCUGUGAUUUCGAGCACUGGUUACUACUAAUAUUUAUGAACUGGGAAACUACGAUUAAAGUAAACUUAUGGGACAGUAAAAACAAGGGUCUUCUCUUGACUUAUCAGGCUUUUUUAUUGCCAUGGUUUUAGCCUUUUUUCAUGCUUCAGGGAAGUAACUCAACUGUAACAACUGUCAAUGUCAGGAGACUUUUAUAGAUUUUAUGUUCUUUAGAAUUAUAAUAUUUUUUUCAGAGCUGAUAUAAAAACUAUCGGAAGACAGAGGACUGUUGUGUUAAGUGACGAGAAAAAAUGAGCAGAUGCAGUGUGAUUCAUAUUAAAAAUUUGACUAAGAAUCGCACAUUUUUCAUUAGCAGUACUGUUACAGAUUAUAUUAUCUUUUAACGUUGGAAUGUAUGAAUAUUUCUUCUAACUAUAAAACUUUUGUUAUGUUCCAAAAGGGUUAAGACAUCUUAUUUUGUAAUGCUUAAAUCUCUUGUAGUUUUUUUAACUCGAUUUAAGUUGGAGAUCAUUAACUUUAUACGGACUACAAAUAGAUUUUAGUUCGACUUUUGGUAAAAUUUUAAAGAUAUAUCUUGAGUAUUUUGUCCAGUUUGCGUUUUUGUAGUCGAACUUGAAAAAAUUUUAGUUGUAGACUCGACGAUUGAAGAUAACCGAUACCGGUAAAUGAUCAAAAUUGAGCUCGUGUUGGACAAUACUGGCGCAUAGUUUGUAAAUGUCUAGCGUUGAGCUUUGUUGUCCUCUGUCAGCAAGUAUACGGAUGUGAUCACAAGAUAAAACAAUAUGAAAAUUGUAUGGAACCAUUUUUCGUGUAAUAGAUCUCUUCAGCAAUUGGAUGUAAUACAACCCCAAAGAGGAUUUCUACAAUCACCACCAAUAAUAUAUUUGUUGCCUCUACUCGCUCAUAAAUGUCAGUGGAAAGCUGUUGCCUCUUGUUGUUGGUUCUACCUGCAUGAUUUCUGGGGGUAACAACAAAAAAUGUCAGUGUAAUCGCUAGCUGAAUUUGAAAUUUGAAUGCCGAUGUUUUCAAUAAGCGUAUUGUUAGAUGGAAGGAGCAUGUCACCCCUGGCGUUCCUUGUGACUAUUAGUUAUAACAUCGAAUUGGUCGGCCCUCGAUUUGCGGUUAAUUAAAUUUUUAAUUAACUCGAAAGUUAGUUCUUCCUGUGUUAAUUUCCUGAAUGGAAAACAUGUUAUUAACUUGUGUUUUGGCUGGCAUUAUUGAACUCUGCUUGGACAGUCGUGGAAAGACGCUUUAUGCGCACCGUUGCAAUUAGCACAUUUAAUACUUUGCACAAUACAAUCUGUUGUUUUUUGGCUACCGGUUAGCACAAAAUGUUUUAACCACGCAGCGACUGGCACCAUGUCCGAACAUCUGACAGUUAAAACACUAAGUAAUUUUGUUGCUGUUUCUCCUUUGAAAUUUCCAUUUUAUUUUCACAUAAUCGAUGAUGGAAAAGGUUUUUAUUAAUUCUUUCAUCGAUAUCGAUUGUCUGGCAAAAUAGACCACAGAAAAAGUCAGUAUCUGUUAUUUGGUCUUCGAUUUUUAACUAGCUUAACAUCAGGGGGAGAAACCAGUUUAGAUGAUUCCAAAAAAACGAUUUUUUUAUUGCAUAAAUUGUUAGUACAACUAUGUUGCUUAGGUUUCAAAACGAAAUUUCAAUUAGUUCUGAUGAUAUGAGCACUAAGGUGGUAAACAUGCGUUUUUCUCGAAACGAAUUUUUUUCAACUUGCGGGAAUCCUUGCUCGAAAAGUUAUUGACGAAUCGAUCGAUGAAGAUUUGUGUGAAUAUCCUUUAUUCAAGUCCUAAAAAUAUGAACCAAACUCUGGAAUGAUACUAUUAUUGGUUCAUAUUCUUAGAAAAUAUGUUACUAACGAAAGAAAAAAAAUUAAUGAUUUCAGAUCAAAACUGUGACCUCCAGUUGUCCCGACAGCAGUCAACUCUGAUGGCGAUCGUCAAUGGACACCAUCCCUUAUCCCCACCACUUCCGACGGAAAUGGCAUCGAAAAAGUUCAAAGUGUAGUUCAAAAUAGGAAUAAACUACCCUACAAGUUUAAACGAA